AUUGAACGCUGGCGGCAGGCCUAACACAUGCAAGUCGAACGAGUGGCGGACGGGUGAGUAAUGUCUGGGAAACUGCCUGAUGGAGGGGGAUAACUACUGGAAACUGUAGCUAAUACCGCAUACCAUCAGAUGUGCCUCGAUGGUCUUAGCUAUUUGGUGGGGUAACGGCUAACCAAGGCGACGAUCCCUAGCUGGUCUAAGAGGAUGACCAGCCACACUGGAACGAGGACACGGUCCAGACUCCUACGGGAGGCAGCAGUGGGUAAUAUUGCAAAAUGGGCGCAAGCCUGAUGCAGCCAUGCCGCGUGUAUGAAGAAGGCCUUCGGGUUGUAAAGUACUUGCAGCGGGGAGGCGUUACCCGCAGAAGAAGCACCAGCUAACUCCGUGCCAGCCGCCGCGGUAAUAC
rnacentral:rRNA from 1 species